rnacentral:rRNA from 1 species
CCUACGGGAGGCAGCAGUGAGGAAUAUUGGUCAAUGGCCGGAAGGCUGAACCAGCCAUGCCGCGUGAAGGUCAGUGCCCUAUGGGCGUUAAACUUCUUUUGUGCGGGAGCAAUAAUGGUAACGUGUGGCCAGACGAGAGUACCGUACGAAUAAGCAUCGGCUAACUCCGUGCCAGCAGCCACGGUAAUACGGGGGAUGCAAGCGUUAUCCGGAGUUUUUGGGUUUAAAGGGUGCGUAGGCUGGGGGGUAAGUCAGCGGUGAAAUGCCUCCGCUCAACGGGGUGAAGUGCCAUUGAUACUGCCUUGCUGGAAUGCGGAUGCCGUGGGAGGAAUGUGUGGUGUAGCGGUGAAAUGCAUAGAUAUCACACAGAACACCGAUUGCGAAGGCAUCUCACGAAUCCGCGAUUGACGCUGAUGCACGAAAGCGUGGGUAUCAAACAGGAUUAGAUACCCCAGUAGUC